rnacentral:rRNA from 1 species
GACGAACGCCGGCGGCGUGCUUAACACAUGCAAGUCGAGCGGAAAGGCCCUUCGGGGUACUCGAGCGGCGAACGGGUGAGUAACACGUGAGUAACCUGCCCCAGACUUUGGGAUAACCCUCGGAAACGGGGGCUAAUACCGGAUACGACACAGCUUCGCAUGGGGUCUGUGUGGAAAGUUUUUCGGUUUGGGAUGGGCUCGCGGCCUAUCAGCUUGUUGGUGGGGUGAUGGCCUACCAAGGCGACGACGGGUAGCCGGCCUGAGAGGGCGACCGGCCACACUGGGACUGAGACACGGCCCAGACUCCUACGGGAGGCAGCAGUGGGGAAUAUUGCACAAUGGGCGGAAGCCUGAUGCAGCGACGCCGCGUGAGGGAUGACGGCCUUCGGGUUGUAAACCUCUUUCAGCAGGGACGAAGCGUAAGUGACGGUACCUGCAGAAGAAGCGCCGGCCAACUACGUG